rnacentral:lncRNA from 1 species
UUUAGUUAUUUAUUUAUUUUUGAAUUUUCAGUUUAUUUAUUUUCCAGUUUAUUUACUUAUUUAUUUAUUUAUUUAUUUCCAGUUUAUUUAUUUAUUUUCUCAAUUUUCAGUUUAUUUAUUUAUUUAUUUUCGAAUUUUCAAUUUAUUUAUUUUCUGAAAAUUUUAUUUCCAAUUUAUUUAUUUUCCAUUUUUUUAUGUAUUUAUUUAUUUAUUUAUUUUCUGAAUUUCAAGUUCAUUUAUUUAGUUAGUGCAAGAUUAGUAAAAGUAACCACAAUACAUU